rnacentral:rRNA from 1 species
GUGUCAGCCGCCGCGGUAAUACAGAGGGGGCGAGCGUUGUUCGGAAUUACUGGGCGUAAAGGGCGCGUAGGCGGCCUCUUAAGUCGAACGUGAAAUCCCCGGGCUCAACCCGGGAACCGCGUCCGAUACUGGGGGGCUUGAAUCCGGGAGAGGGAUGUGGAAUUCCAGGUGUAGCGGUGAAAUGCGUAGAUAUCUGGAGGAACACCGGUGGCGAAGGCGGCAUCCUGGACCGGUAUUGACGCUGAGGCGCGAAAGCCAGGGGAGCAAACGGGAUUAGAUACCCCGGUAGUCC